GAUGUAGUAUUUUAUUUUUAAACUUUCAUUAUUCACAUGUGUAUGCUUUAAUAUUUUAUUUUAUUUUUAUCCAUUAGCUAGUUUCAUGUGCACACUAUCUUCUUUAUGUUAUCAAACCUUGUUUUGUAUCCAAAGGCUUAGAUUAAUGUUUGCUUGUCCAUGAUUCUGAAAAUAGUUCUCAUGCUUGUAGAUUAACCGAGUUGAGUACCUGCAUUCAAGGGCC
rnacentral:lncRNA from 1 species